AGUGAACGCUGGCGGUAGGCCUAACACAUGCAAGUCGAACGAGUGGCGGACGGGUGAGGAAUACAUCGGAAUCUACUCUGUCGUGGGGGAUAACGUAGGGAAACUUACGUUAAUACCGCAUACGAUUGAAUGAGCCGCUGUCGGAUUAGCUAGUUGGCGGGGUAAAGGCCCACCAAGGCGACGAUCCGUAGCUGGUCUGAGAGGAUGAUCAGCCAAAGUGUAACUGAGACACGGUCCAGACUCCUACGGGAGGCAGCAGCGGGGACUAUUUGACAAUGGGCGGAAGCCUGAUCCAGCCAUACCGCGUGGGUGAAGAAAGCCUUAGGAUUGUAAAGCACUUUAAGUUGGGAGGCGUUACCAACAGAAUAAGCACCGGCUAACUUCGUGCCAGCCGCCGCGGUAAUAC
rnacentral:rRNA from 1 species